rnacentral:lncRNA from 12 species
UACUUUUUUAUUCUUCAUGGACUAGCAGCUACUCAAGAUCUGUUCUCAGCACAGUGAAUUCCUAAAGUGAAUGAAGAUAUCUUGGGUGGUGCAGCCAAGUGAGAAUGAAUGUUCGGAGUGAGGACUCCAAAAUGCUUCAAGCUUUUCAAUCAAAGAAGUUUCAAUCAUGUUGGACCUGUACUGGUUACCAAGAAAAACCCAGGGUGCAUCUGCACUCAGAUGUUGGCAUCCAAGGAGAAAAGGUUGCCUAUUUCCUACCUAGGCUUUUUGUUGGAUGAUUGCAUUCUUUGCUGUUGGAAGCUUUCCUCUUUGUUAGAAGGUUCAUAGAGCACAGAGAGGUAAGUAAAAGUACGUGUCUGAAAUUAUGUUCAUUUUUCCUAAAAGAAUAUAGUAUAGUAGCGUGAUGGGUUUAGAUUUUCCAAAAAACUAUGAUAAUGAUGGUAUUUCCAAUUCCACACAUUUUUCUCCCACUAGCUCUUUUGUUCAUCCUCUAUUUAUAGAGUUCCUCCAAGGUCCUUUUUCAAGUAGUGAUGAGGGUUUAUAAGCUAGCCUAUAGAAUUUUAGAGUGAAUAGAAUACGAAAAACUGGAGGUAGAGAGUAU